rnacentral:rRNA from 1 species
CUUUAAAAUUGCGUCAAAGCUUAAUUGUUCCAACGCCUAAUUACCUAAUUAACAUCUUAAUCCCCAAUCAAUACUGAGUAAUUCUAUAAUAUUAUAGAAAAUUUUAUGUUAAAACUAGUAACAAGAAGGAGACCCUUCUCUUAAAUGUUAGUGUAAAUCAGAAAGGACAAACCACUGAUACUUAACAUUAUUGAACCAAAAGUAGCAACUAACCAAGAAAACUCUACCCAAAUCAAUGUCAACCUAACACAAGCACAUUUUAAGAAAGAUUUAAAGAAAAAGAAGGAACUCGGCAAAUAUUAACCCCGCCUGUUUACCAAAAACAUCGCCUCUUGAGCCUAAUAAGAGGUCCAGCCUGCCCAGUGACUCUGUUCAACGGCCGCGGUAUCCUAACCGUGCGAAGGUAGCGUAAUCACUUGUUCUUUAAAUGAGGACUAGUAUGAAUGGCACCACGAAGGUUAUACUGUCUCCUUUUUUUAAUCAGUGAAACUAAUCUCCCCGUGAAGAAGCGGGGAUAAAUCUAUAAGACGAGAAGACCCUACGGAGCUUUAAACAACAUAGCACUUACCACGCCUCAAUUUUUAAAUUAAACUUCUCAGGUAACAUGACUAUAAGUUUUCGGUUGGGGUGACCACGGAGCAUAACACAACCUCCACGUUGAAGAAAUCCUAUUUUAAGCUAAGAACCACCCGUCUAAGCAUCAAUAUCUUGACAUCCAUUGACCCAAUACUUUUGAACAACGAACCAAGUUACCCUAGGGAUAACAGCGCAAUCCACUUUAAGAGCCCCUAUCGACAAGUGGGUUUACGACCUCGAUGUUGGAUCAGGGUCUCCAAGUGGUGCAGCCGCUACUA